UUCAGUGCAGGUGGCUUUCCUCACUCAGGUUAAGUAAGCAGCCUCCCACUGUGAGCACAGGGGCAGCAACCUCAGCAGAUGGCUACUGAACAGAACUCUCAUCACAUCUAAAGGCUGGCUGCACUAGAAUCUGGAACGGAAGAACCAACACCUGCUCCAGUGGACCUGACUCCUGGGAGUGACAAGGCCACGCCAAGACCAGAUGCUGCUGGAGCCAACAGUGGGCCAUCAGUGGAUCAUGGUUUAGAUUCUUCAUGAGUCAACACAGGAAUUCAGCUUUGAAGCAAGUUGGACUGGCAAAUUUUUCAGUAGAGGUAUACACCCUUAGUAUUUGAAGACUUAAUUUUCUGUUCUAACUGUACUCCAAGUGAGUCAUCCCAAGUUGUGGAGCUGCAUGUUUUAAAGGUAAUUUGAUAACUGAUAGUUCCAUUGUAAUUUCUCUGUAUUCACUUAGGCAAGAUCAAAAUGCCUUCUCCAUUUCUUCUUUCAUAUUCCUCAAUACCACUGUAUUAUUGAGAAAAGAGCUAUGAUUGGAAUAUAACUUUUGCUUAGUCACAAAAAGGUAAAGCAAACAGCAAAAUUAAAAAGUGCAAACUCUGAUUAUAUGAAAAUGA